GAUGAACGCUGGCGGCGUGCCUAAUACAUGCAAGUCGAGCGAACGGACGAGAAGCUUGCUUCUCUGAUGUUAGCGGCGGACGGGUGAGUAACACGUGGAUAACCUACCUAUAAGACUGGGAUAACUUCGGGAAACCGGAGCUAAUACCGGAUAAUAUUUUGAACCGCAUGGUUCAAAAGUGAAAGACGUUCUUGCUGUCACUUAUAGAUGGAUCCGCGCUGCAUUAGCUAGUUGGUAAGGUAACGGCUUACCAAGGCAACGAUGCAUAGCCGACCUGAGAGGGUGAUCGGCCACACUGGAACUGAGACACGGUCCAGACUCCUACGGGAGGCAGCAGUAGGGAAUCUUCCGCAAUGGGCGAAAGCCUGACGGAGCAACGCCGCGUGAGUGAUGAAGGUCUUCGGAUCGUAAAACUCUGCUAUUAGGGAAGAACAUAUGUGUAAGUAACUGUGCACAUCUUGACGGUACCUAAUCAGAAAGCCACGGCUAACUACGUG
rnacentral:rRNA from 1 species